UUCCGCCAAGUAUGCAAACCUAGGUUUUCUCUCUCUCUUCCGACCCCACUGCACAGAGAAAAAGCAACAAUCGAGAGAGAGAGAGAGAGAGAGGGGGGGGGGGGGGGGGUUCGAGUUGGUGGAGCCAUGGGUGCUCUUGCUCCCGCCUUUCAGUGGGUUCCAGAGGACGACCUCUUGCUAAAGAACGCCGUGGAGGGUGGUGCUUCCCUUGAAUCACUUGCCAAAGGUUCCGUACAAUUUUCUCAGAGUUUUUCUGUUCAGGACCUACAGACUCGCUGGCACACUCUUCUCUAUGAUCCAGUUGUUUCUGAAGAAGCAUCUGCUCAUAUGAAUGAGAUUGAGAACUCUGCUUCAUGUCUUCUAUCAAAACCCAAUAGACCUGAAAACUCAAGGGAAAACAAAUGUGUUUCUGGGAAGAGAAAAGUUGAAAGUGUUCGUAAUUGUUACUACUCCCUGCGUAAAAGAAUUUGCAAUGAGCCAUUUCACUCCAUGGAUCAGAAUUCUCUUGUUGGGGCUGGUCAUAAUAGUUGUUUUGGAAAUGGAGAUGAAGUUUCUUCUGCUUGUUGCAUGUGUGGAGGCCCAAGACAGCUGGACUCAAACUUUGACAUGACAUGCCAUGCAUUCCCAGAAAUUGGAACAGAUACUGUUACUUCACAUGCAUUUGAUCCAGGAUUCCUCAAUCAAGUUGAACAAGAUAUUCACUUUGCAGAGAACAUUGCAGAUAAACAAAUGCCUCAUACUUUACAAGAGAAUUUUGCUCUUGCUACUAGUUUUCCUGGUGUUCAGGAAUUGAAUCAACCCAAAGAAGCUCCAGUUGUUAACCUCUUUGAAGCCAAUGAUUUGGAACCCAAGCCCCCAGUUGCAUCUGAUCAAAGAAUUGAUAAUAAAGAAGAGAUUUUCCCUGGAUUUGGAGACUGCCAGGUGACUAGCUCGCCAAAUUCAGAUUGUGGUGCUUCAUUACACAAUUUAGGGUAUCCACCAUACUCGAUUCCAAUCUGGAGAAUGGUUGAGGGUCUUCCGGCUUCUACUACUACUGAUGUUCCCUUGAAUGCGAAUGAACUGGAUGCUGUAGAUGUGUACACAUUUAUUCAAGAUGGUAAUAUGGGAACCGCAAGUACCUCAAGAUGUGAUGUUAUCCACUUAAAUUCCAAGCAGAAAGGCCAAAUGCCUUGUGAUAACCCAAAGAAUUUAUCUCCCAGCCCAACUGAUUAUUUAAGAGAGCUGUCCAAUACACUUUUGAAUUUUACAAGUGAGGAUGAACUUAUUUUCACGAAUGCUGAUGGAAAAGAUGGAAUUGGUAGAUCAUAUAUAGAUGGCUUCCGCUCACUUUUGUUGGAUUUUCCUAAUGGAGACAUCCCUAAUAUUGCUGCAACUGAAGCAGCUGGUGUUCUGGAUAAUUAUCUUACAGUUUCUGGUGGUGAGCAUCAUGGAGAAUCAGAUGGCAAGGGGCUGUCUCAGCAUGGUGAUGCACAUGCAGUUUGCAAUUCAGAGUCUCUAAUGCUAGCAUGCCCAGCUGCGAACUCUCAAAUCGCUGGAGUGCAUGAUGGAGUAAUUUGCUGCACAUUGAACACUGAAGACACAGAAAUUCCAAGCAAUGAUGAUGUUUUCCCAUCCAAUCAAAUGUUCUUGUCAUCGUCUCUUUUGUCUGUUACACAAUUGAAAUUUAAUCAAGGUAAUGAUCCAACAUUGUCAUUUGUGAAGGACUUCUCAGAUAAUCAGAAAUCUAAUGUGGAUCAACUCAUCCAGAUGAAGAUAGAACAGAAAAACCCUGAACACUCUCAUUUGUAUAUGAGAGGACCAAAUUUAACAUACGAAACUGGUUCAAGUCAUCUAGUUGGCGAUCCUGAUGUUAAAUUUGAGUUGCCUAGCAAUGACUGCAUGCAUUUGGCAUUUAAGAUUGCAAGUAAUGCUUCUCAAGGCCCUUGUAAAAUUAUUGCAGGAAAUGAGAGUACAACUGCUCUCCUGGCUGCAACUAUAAAGCCUCAGACUACUGAACUUGAACAGGCAAAGCAUCUGAGUUCUAUUACUGAUUCUUAUCUAAAUAAGCAAGGUCCUAGUUUUGAUGGUCUUAUGAAAUACGCUCAUGGAAAUGCUAUAAGCAGUAAAGAGGAAGCAGGUGCUCCAGCUAAAAUUCAAAAUCAGAAAGCAUAUGCAGAAUUGAGCUCUGUAGAGAUGACUGUUUUGGAACUGGCUUCAAACCAAUCACCAGAAAAUCAGGAAGAACUUCCUUCAGAGAGUGAUUAUGAUGUACCACAUUUUUCCGAUGUUGAAGCAAUGAUACCGGAUAUACACUUGAGUCCAGAUGACCAAGACUUAUACUCCAACAAGCAAGUCUCAAAAUAUCAGGAUGAGGACAGUCAAAGGGCAAUUGUAAGGCUGGAGCAGGCUGCUUGUUCUUUCAUGCAGAGAGCCAUUGCAUCUCGGGGAGCAUUGGCUGUGUUGUAUGGACGUCGUUCAAAGUUCUACAUUAAGAAAUCUGAGGUUUUACUUGGGAGAGCAACCGAAGAUAUUGAUGUUGACAUAGACUUGGGAAGAGAGGGGAAUGCUAAUAAAAUUUCCAGAAGGCAGGCAAUUAUAAAGCUGGACCAGAAUGGAUCUUUUCAUCUGAAUAACCUCGGAAAGAGUUCAAUGUUCGUCAAUGACAAGGAAAUAGCCCCUAAACAGGGUGUAGGCCUUACCUCAAAUUGUUUGAUUGAGGUUAGAGGAAUGCAGUUCAUAUUUGAAACAAGUCAAACUUGUGUGAAGCAAUAUAUGGACAGAUUCACCAAGGGAAGCCAAGCCUAGGACCAUAAAGUUUAACUAAUACCAAGUUUGAUCUGGGAGGAUGCUGUCAGAAGGUGCCUUUUUUCACUGCACUUUUUGGCUCCUUAGUAAGCUAAUCUGUGGUAUCUGUAUGUAUUUUACUCUUGUAGAAGCAAGAUCAGAAUCUUUUUCCUGCUGUUUGACACCUGAACCUCUUUCUCAUGUUUAUAUAUAAGGGUAUAUGACAGGAGAAUUUGCUAUUGAUCCCUUUUCUUUUUUCUGCUAAGUAAAAUGGAGCAAAGGAGGGACCAAUCGGGGGUGGUGUUCUAUAAUCUGUGAAUAAGCAGCCAAAAGCUUGUGUUAAGUUACUCAUUCGGGUAUUAUGGUUACAUGAUGUGAUACUAGUUCGUCUGUAAUAAUCGUGCUUGAUAGCAAUAGAAAGACUGUCGCUUGUAAUUGAAGGUUAUAGGCUCGAGUCGUAGAAAUACCCUUUUUUGUGGAGUAAAAAUAAGACCAUGUACAAGAAUGAUCUUUCCACUACAUUCACAAAUCGGAGAGAUUCAUGUGCAGGUUCUCUCUCAUACUUGGGAGUGAGUUAUCACUUGUUUCCACCUUUUAAAUACUAAUAUUAGCUUCU